rnacentral:tRNA from 3 species
GCCCGGAUGGUCUAGUGGUAUGAUUCUCGCUUGUAAUGCGAGAGGCCCCGCGUUCGAACCGCGGUUCGGGCC